GAGCACGUAGGUGGGUUUGUAGGUCAGAUGUGAAAGCCUUCUGUUCAACGGAAGAAUUGCAUCUGAAACUGCGAGUCUUGAGUGUAGGAGGGGAGAAUGGAACUUCCGGUGGAGCGGUGAAAUGCGUAGAUAUCAGAAGGAACGCCGGCGGCGAAGCGAUUCUCUGGCCUAUUACUGACACUCAGUGUGCGGAAGCUAGGGGAGCAAACGGGAUUAGAUACCCCGGCAGUCCUAGUCGUAAACGAUGGGCACUAAGUAGAGGGGUUUU
rnacentral:rRNA from 1 species